UCCCGUGGUUUUGAGACGACAACGCCAAACUUUGGGUUUAGCCUUGCAGAGACAGACCCAUGUUCCUGGGUCACGUGACCAGAGGUGCAAAGGUCGGGUCUGUGGAAGAGACAGAAGUGAAACAAAAUUCUACAAAGGUGUCCAGCAGGCGCUUUGGGAGGGAAAGAAGGAAAGCAAAAUCUGCAUUCCUCGUGUUAGUACCACUGUCAAGAAAAAAGUUCCAAAGAAGACCAAAACCCAAAAGAAGAAGAACCAAAAUGCUAAGAAGAAAAAUCACAAGAAAAUGAAUCAAUGCGGGAAGGAAAAACCAGUAAUGAAUAAGCAGAAACCAAAUCAGAAGAACAAGAAAAUGCAGGCAGAGGGUCUUGGCAAAAUGGGGGACGCCAAACCGGACAGCCAGAACCAGACUAUAGGUGCUUGACCCAGAGAGCACUGCCAACGAUCCUCCUGGGUAACAACCUGCACCUGCGAUCAUGUAGGUUUCGUCCUGUUGGAGUACAGGCCCGCCUGCAGUGGCCCGGGGGACUGUAGGACAGUUGGGGGCUUUAUCACCUGUGCUGCAACGCCUGGGGUCUGAAUCCGUGACUGCAGUAGUGGUUAUCGAAUGAGCUUAGAUGUAAAAACCUGUUAUCGUAAGUUUUCGCGGGAGCUUUUGUUUUUGUUC